GACGAACGCUGGCGGCAUGCCUAAUACAUGCAAGUCGAGCGAACAGAUGAAGUGCUUGCACUUCUGACGUUAGCGGCGAACGGGUGAGUAACACGUAAGGAAUCUACCUAUAAGCGGGGGAUAACAUUCGGAAACGGGUGCUAAUACCGCAUAAUAUCUUCUUCCGCAUGGAAGAAGAUUGAAAGACGGCUCUGCUGUCACUUAUAGAUGACCUUGCGGGGAAUUAGUUAGUUGGUGGGGUAAUGGCCUACCAAGACAAUGAUGCAUAGCCGACCUGAGAGGGUGAUCGGCCACAUUGGGACUGAGACACGGCCCAAACUCCUACGGGAGGCAGCAGUAGGGAAUCUUCCGCAAUGGGCGAAAGCCUGACGGAGCAAUGCCGCGUGAGUGAAGAAGGCCUUCGGGUCGUAAAACUCUGUUAUAAGAGAAGAACAAAUUGUAGAGUAACUGCUACAGUCUUGACGGUAUCUUAUCAGAAAGCCACGGCUAACUACGUGCCAGCAGCCGCCGUAA
rnacentral:rRNA from 1 species